AGGGAAUCUUCCGCAAUGGACGAAAGUCUGACGGAGCAACGCCGCGUGAACGAAGAAGGUUUUCGGAUCGUAAAGUUCUGUUGUUAGGGAAGAACAAGUACCGUUUGAAUAAGGCGGUACCUUGACGGUACCUAUCGAGAAAGCCCCGGCUAACUACGUGCCAGCAGCCGCGGUAAUACGUAGGGGGCAAGCGUUGUCCGGAUUUAUUGGGCGUAAAGCGCGCGUAGGCGGUUUCUUAAGUCUGAUGUGAAAUCUUGCGGCUCAACCGCAAGCGGUCAUUGGAAACUGGGGAACUUGAGUGCAGAAGAGGAGAGUGGAAUUCCACGUGUAGCGGUGAAAUGCGUAGAGAUGUGGAGGAACACCAGUGGCGAAGGCGACUCUCUGGUCUGUAACUGACGCUGAGGUGCGAAAGCGUGGGUAGCGAAC
rnacentral:rRNA from 1 species